ensembl:lncRNA
CAGAAUGCAAUAAAAUAACAUAUGCUGCAGAGAUUCAACCUCUCCCUGACCACAUGGGCAGACUCUCAGUUCUGUAGGUAAAACCAUAUACCUGCCCUGUGCUAAGCUCGAUGGUACUAUAUUGCACCUGGCAAGAGUAAAUGCCCAUCGGUCUUGUGGCUGUUCUAACUGGAGAAAUGUCAGAAAAGCUCAUAGAUUCCAGAUGUCUACAUGGAGACUACUGACAGCUUUGCCUGCCCUCUAAGUGACUGGCCCGCUUUCAGAAACAGCUGAAUCUGGGACAAAGAGUCUCCUGGAGAUUCUUCUGCCAUUUGAGCAAAAUCCGGUUCAAGGCUUCUCUGCUGUUCUCAUCUCCAUUAUCAUAAACCAGUAGCACUCGCCCAAGGAUGGCAAAGAGUUCAUUUUCAAUUCAUUUUUAAUAAUAAUUCCCCAAGAUUCACAACUUUCUUCAUAUACACAAUAGAAACAAUAUGAGAUAUAAAAAAACAAAAGCAAAGCCUAAAUGUGAGAUGAAUUAAAACAGUUUCACCCACCUCAGUUGAAGGAAAUGAAGGCACGGCCUUGAGUUUGCAACCGCUGUGAAUGACAGGACAUUCUUGAGGUUGCUCAAGCGUAGGGUUGCCAUGGGUCGGAGUUGACUUGACAGCAUAUAACAACAACAAGCUGAAGGCUUUGAGUGCUUAACUCUGGAUUGUAUGUCUUGCUUUUAAAACUCUUUUCUUUAUCACAGGUGCCUCAGCGUUCACAUCUGUGUGGUAUAGGUCAUGUAUAACAUCAAAAAAAUCAGUUUGAGGUGUCCACCCCCUGCUAUUUUCAGGGCUACCCAUGCUAUUCAACAAAUAAUUGAACCUCGUUGUCUCUUUUCCCCCCGAAUAUCUGAUUUUGGAAGUAAAAUAGGAAGAAAAAGAACAUUUUUCUGCUUUAGUGUUCCGGCUGUGAAAUAUCUCUCAGGUCCAGGACCACGGGGCAUUGAGACUAAGAUUCGACGCAGCACAUGGAAACAGCCUUCACAGACUUAUUUUUAUUUCUGCUCUUCACACUUCUAAGACUUUUUUUGCAUUAGAUAUACAAUCCAUUCCUGACAAAAAUAAAAUGUCUCUUUAACUGAUAUGUUGUUUAAAA